CCCGCGGCAAGACGGAAAGACCCCGUGAACCUUUACUAUAGCUUGACACUGAACACUGGUCCUUGAUGUGUAGGAUAGGUGGGAGGCUUUGAAGCGUGGACGCCAGUCUGCGUGGAGCCAUCCUUGAAAUACCACCCUUUAAUGGCUGGUGUUCUAACGUAGACCCGUGAUCCGGGUUGCGGACAGUGUCUGGUGGGUAGUUUGACUGGGGCGGUCUCCUCCCAAAGAGUAACGGAGGAGCACGAAGGUUGGCUAAUCCUGGUCGGACAUCAGGAGGUUAGUGCAAUGGCAUAAGCCAGCUUGACUGCGAGCGUGACGGCGCGAGCAGGUGCGAAAGCAGGUCAUAGUGAUCCGGUGGUUCUGAAUGGAAGGGCCAUCGCUCAACGGAUAAAAGGUACUCCGGGGAUAACAGGCUGAUACCGCCCAAGAGUUCAUAUCGACGGCGGUGUUUGGCACCUCGAUGUCGGCUCAUCACAUCCUGGGGCUGAAGUAGGUCCCAAGGGUAUGGCUGUUCGCCAUUUAAAGUGGUACGCGAGCUGGGUUUAGAACGUCGUGAGACAGUUCGGUCCCUAUCUGCCGUGGGCGCUGGAGAAUUGAGGGGGGCUGCUCCUAGUACGAGAGGACCGGAGUGGACGCAUCACUGGUGUUCGGGUUGUCAUGCCAAUGGCACUGCCCGGUAGCUAAAUGCGGAAGAGAUAAGUGCUGAAAGCAU
rnacentral:rRNA from 1 species